UAACCCUCAAGCCUGGCUUGGUAUUGGGGCCUGCUGUUACCGGCAGUCCUUAAAAUCAGUGGCGGUGCCAUCUGGCUCUAAGCGUAGUAAUACUUCUCGCUACAGGGCCUGGUGGGGAUGCCUGCCAACAACCCCCUAAUUUUUCUAA
rnacentral:misc_RNA from 1 species